rnacentral:rRNA from 1 species
GACGAACGCUGGCGGCGUGCUUAACACAUGCAAGUCGCACGGGACUGGGGGCAACUCCAGUUCAGUGGCGGACGGGUGCGUAACACGUAAGCAACAUGUCCAAGGGUGGGGAUAGCCGGCCCAACGGCCGGGUAAUACCGCAUGCAGUCACGGGGGACAUCCCCGGUGACGAAAGCCGGGGCAACCUGGCGCCCAUGGAGUGGCUUGCGGCCUAUCAGCUAGUUGGUGGGGUAAUGGCCCACCAAGGCGACGACGGGUAGCUGGUCUGAGAGGAUGACCAGCCACAUUGGGACUGAGACACGGCCCAGACUCCUACGGGAGGCAGCGAGUGGGGAAUAUUGCGCAAUGGGCGAAUGCCUGACGCAGCGACGCCGCGUGUGGGAUGAAGGUCUUCGGAUCGUAAACCACUGUCAG